GAUGAACGCUGGCGGCGUGCUUAACACAUGCAAGUCGAACGAGAAAUGUAGACGGAAACCUUCGGGCGGAAGCCUUCAUUUCGAGUGGCGGACGGGUGAGUAACGCGUGGGUAACCUGCCUCAUACAGGGGGAUAACAGUUGGAAACGACUGUUAAUACCGCAUAAGACCACAGCAUCGCAUGAUGCGGGGGUAAAAACUCCGGUGGUAUGAGAUGGACCCGCGUUCGAUUAGCCAGUUGGCGGGGUAACGGCCCACCAAAGCGACGAUCGAUAGCCGAUCUGAGAGGGUGACCGGCCACAUUGGGACUGAGACACGGCCCAAACUCCUACGGGAGGCAGCAGUGGGGAAUAUUGCACAAUGGGGGAAACCCUGAUGCAGCGACGCCGCGUGAGUGAAGAAGUACUUCGGUAUGUAAAGCUCUAUCAGCAGGGAAGAAAAUGACGGUACCUGAGUAAGAAGCCCCGGCUAACUACGUG
rnacentral:rRNA from 1 species